rnacentral:rRNA from 1 species
AUUGAACGCUGGCGGCAUGCCUUACACAUGCAAGUCGAACGGCAGCGGGCCUUCGGGUGCCGGCGAGUGGCGAACGGGUGAGUAAUGCAUCGGAACGUGCCAUUGAGUGGGGGAUAACGUAGCGAAAGUUACGCUAAUACCGCAUAUUCUGUGAGCAGGAAAGCAGGGGACCGCAAGGCCUUGCGCUCUUUGAGCGGCCGAUGUCAGAUUAGCUAGUUGGUGAGGUAAAGGCUUACCAAGGCGACGAUCUGUAGCGGGUCUGAGAGGAUGAUCCGCCACACUGGAACUGAGACACGGUCCAGACUCCUACGGGAGGCAGCAGUGGGGAAUUUUGGACAAUGGGCGCAAGCCUGAUCCAGCCAUGCCGCGUGAGUGAAGAAGGCCUCGGUUGG